CCUACGGGCGGCAGCAGUGGGGAAUAUUGGACAAUGGGGGGAACCCUGAUCCAGCCAUGCCGCGUGUGUGAAGAAGGCCCUCGGGUUGUAAAGCACUUUCAGUGAGGAAGAACGCCUGGUGGUUAAUACCCAUCAGGAAAGACAUCACUCACAGAAGAAGCACCGGCUAACUCCGUGCCAGCAGCCGCGGUAAUACGGAGGGUGCGAGCGUUAAUCGGAAUUACUGGGCGUAAAGGGCGCGUAGGUGGCUUGAUAAGCCGGUUGUGAAAGCCCCGGGCUCAACCUGGGAACGGCAUCCGGAACUGUCAAGCUAGAGUGCAGGAGAGGAAGGUAGAAUUCCCGGUGUAGCGGUGAAAUGCGUAGAGAUCGGGAGGAAUACCAGUGGCGAAGGCGGCCUUCUGGACUGACACUGACACUGAGGUGCGAAAGCGUGGGUAGCAAACAGGAUUAGAUACCCCAGUAGUC
rnacentral:rRNA from 1 species